UCCGGCUUAUCACCGGCAGUCCCCUUAGAGUGCCCAACUAAAUGAUGGCAACUAAGGGCGAGGGUUGCGCUCGUUGCGGGACUUAACCCAACAUCUCACGGCACGAGCUGACGACAGCCAUGCAGCACCUGUGUUGAGGCUCCCUUUCGGGCACCCCCGCGUCUCCGCGGGGUUCCUCACAUGUCAAGGGUAGGUAAGGUUUUUCGCGUUGCAUCGAAUUAAACCACAUAAUCCACCGCUUGUGCGGGCCCCCGUCAAUUCCUUUGAGUUUUAAUCUUGCGACCGUACUCCCCAGGCGGGGCACUUAAUGCGUUAGCUGCGGCACCCAGGGGGUCAAUACCCCGGACACCUAGUGCCCAUCGUUUACAGCGUGGACUAC
rnacentral:misc_RNA from 1 species